rnacentral:tRNA from 1 species
UUCCAGAUGGCUCAGAUAGUACAGAAUCAGCCUGCAAUGCUGAAGACCCAGGUUCAAUCCCUGGGUCAGGACA